UUGUGACUCUAGGGCUGCAAUACUGCCACAACGUUAUUCAGAUGGACUGUCUUCUCUUUCAACUAUCAUCUGAGCAUUUAUUGAGGACAACUGCAAAUGAGAGGAAGACACUUCCUUCCAACGUGUGACCAGCAAAGCCACAUCUUUUGCAGAUAUGACAGGAAUUGCAAAUGCCCAGGGUGACUGACAGAGAGAAUUGGCAAUAGACCAAGCGGAAGAUGCAAGGGCAUUUUUGUUACUGGGUUGUUGUGGUGAAAGACAAACAGAAAGAAGAAGAAGAAGAAGAAGAAGAAGAAGUCAUAUCUGCCUCACAUUCUCCAUUAACACAGAUUCAUACUUCAAUGGUAUACUGUUUUCUGCCAAAAAAUAAAAAUUAAAUUUAGUUAGAGAGAAGAUGUUUCUUUAGCAGACUAAUUUACUUAAUUAGCCAUGACACCCCCUAAUGCAUUCAAAAGUAUGGAAAAACAAAGUAUGUUUCAAAUUUGUUUAAUUAUGAUAAUUAGUAAUUAUAGGAAAUGACAAUCAGUGGAAUUAGUUAAGUGUUAGAGAGAGAGUUAUUUAGUUAUUAAAAGAUUAGCAAGAAAUA